CUUUCUUGUCCGAGGUGACCAGCUGUGCACUGCAGGUGAGAAAACCUACGGAACAUACACUCUCGUGAUGCCGCGACGGCGGUGCGUACGAUCAACGUCAUACUACGAAACGAACGAUCAUACUACGAAACCGAACUCACUUUGAUGUUUUUAAGAAUGAACCGUAUAGGCAUACUAUUCUUGGUUUUUCUGAGCCAUAAAUACACAGUAGCGGCCAACGAGAAUCACGAAUCCAAGACACGUACGAUCACGUUGACCACAAUUUUGAGUACAACUGCCUUGUGCUUCGCCAGUGGCCUCUUAAUGCGAUGACACGAGGAGUAGGCAGACAAAAAGAAAUACGACAAUGGACAAAAGAAGAUGGAUGAUACGAUGAACUUUGCGACCCGCUACGCUGAUAAUUUGAAUGGAAAAUACUUGCCAAGAAAACUUAUUCCAGAUUUAAAAACAAUUUUCACUACUCUGGAGUCUGUUGAAUAUGAAUUGGAGAAUAUUUAUUCAAGACUACACUAUCUAGGGAUUAAAUUGAAUUUUCCCAAAUGAAAGCGAUUUUUACAAUACAAAAAAGUGACUAAAGAAGAAAGAAAAUAUGUCUAAUUUCUUAACUUUUGGUAUCAUUUAUAUUUAAAAGAUUGAUACAUAUGGUCUAAAAUUUAGUUCUAGAUUUUUAAAUUGAUAAUUCAAAAAAUAAACUUAAAAUAAAACUGAUUUAAACAUGGAAUGUUAUUAGCAUUAUAGUUAUUAACGAGAUUGCAAAUGUACCUGAUAGAAAUAAAAGUCAUUGAGACUUUUCAAUCAGAUAAAAUUUGAGACACUACACAAUUAUAGCUCCAAGAAUAUAGCAUAACUAUUGUGUGUGUUUAAUUCAAAUCAAUAAAUUUAACUAGUAAGUACUAUGCUUGAAAAAGCAAUUAUUAUUCAAUCACUUCGGUGCAGAUUGUCUCAUAAUUUUUAAAUAUCUACGCAGUUCUAUGCGCAGUACCUGAAUCAUUCAAAGAGAAAAGCUACAGUUGCUUUUUAUAUGUAGAACAAAUAAAAUUGGAACGUCUCCAGCAUACUGGUUUAAGUUUUUAAAUAUUUCAUUGUAUCACGGCUUUUACGGAAAUGUUCAAGACUUGCAGAAAUGAUUUUUAAUUAUAUUUUCUAUAAUGUACUGUUUAUUCAUGAAUGGUUUUCAAUGUAUAUAACAAGUAUGAUAAAAAUACGAUUAUUCGGUUAACUAAAAGCUGAAGUAAUAA